GGAAAGGGACCAACAGUGAGGCCGAAAAGCCCUGCUACCGGUAAAGCUGUCCCUUGCCGACUCAAGUUGUCCGCUCGUUUCAUUAACAGUCUAGAUACCUAACUCCACCAGGUUAAACCUAACAUAACUGGAACUUAGACAUGGCUAUCCCUAAUAGACUGCAUUUUAUUUGUAUCAAUUUUUGACUUAGUGGGGCACGACCCUAGGGUCGGGUCCGUCUAGGUCAGGUGUCACCUUUUGAGACCAUCAUGUACAUUUUAUGUGCUACUUGUUGCAUUAUAGGAAAUGCCAUAUCGAAUGUUGACCGGCUUUUAAGUGAAUUAAUUGAUCUGAA
rnacentral:lncRNA from 1 species